rnacentral:rRNA from 1 species
UACAGAGGGUGCAAGCGUUGUUCGGAAUUACUGGGCGUAAAGGGCGCGUAGGCGGCCUGUUAAGUCGAACGUGAAAUCCCCGGGCUCAACCCGGGAACUGCGUCCGAUACUGGCAGGCUUGAAUCCGGGAGAGGGAUGCGGAAUUCCGAGUGUAGAGGUGAAAUUCGUAGAUAUUCGGAGGAACACCAGUGGCGAAGGCGGCUCACUGGUCCGGUACUGACGCUGAGGUGCGAAAGCGUGGGGAGCAAACAGG